UGGGGAAUAUUGGACAAUGGGGGAAACCCUGAUCCAGCAAUGCCGCGUGAGUGAAGAAGGCCUUAGGGUUGUAAAACUCUUUCAGAAGUGAAGAUGAUGACGGUAACUUCAGAAGAAGCUCCGGCUAACUCCGUGCCAGCAGCCGCGGUAAUACGGAGGGAGCUAGCGUUGUUCGGAAUUACUGGGCGUAAAGGGCGCGUAGGCGGUAUAAUUAGUCAGUGGUGAAAUCCCUAAGCUCAACUUAGGAACUGCCUUUGAUACUAUUAUGCUAGAGAUCGAGAGAGGUUAGUGGAAUUCCAAGUGUAGAGGUGAAAUUCGUAGAUAUUUGGAAGAACACCAGUGGCGAAAGC
rnacentral:rRNA from 1 species